ensembl:lncRNA
GGCGAAAUGCUCACCACACCAAAGUAUAAGUCUUUAAAUGAACUUAAAACAAUCAUGGAACGGAUUUCCACAUUAAUAAAUGUUUUUCUAUUAGCAGUAAGUCAAUUGAUUUAAGUUGGAAUCAACUGCAAAAGUUGGAUGAAUUGAUGAUGAACCAACUAAGUUGGUCCAGCUCAAGUACCUUAAGCUGGACCAACAAAAUUGCGUAAUGCUAAUCACGUGGGAAUCCUUUCCAUGAUUUUAUUACGUUCAUUCAAAUUGUUAUUUAUUGAGUGUGUAAGAAAAAGCAGGUUUACUGAAACCACAGAAACUCAGAUGAGUCACUGGAGUAACAAGCUGUGUGAAGCUAACCUACUGGGUGAUGGGUUUUCUUCAACAAACUGAACAAACUUCAUUUCUUCAUUUCUUUCGUCUUCAUUUCCUCAUUCAGUAUAAAAAAAAUAUAGGAGUGUGGUAAUAUGCAGAAGUUUGCAUUAUUACCCUGUUAGAUGAGUGUUCAUAAUUAGUCAUCACAGAUAAAUCACUUGACAGUCUGCAUCUAUUUAAAACUUUGGACGGUAAGAAAGGUGUCGGGUUAUGAAAUAAAUACAAUAGCUUAUUGUCACGAUAACUAUUUAAAUAAAACGUAUCUGUAUGAAGUUUUAGACUGAUUGAUAAAGAGCAUUUGUCGUGCAGUGAUCAGUCACUCUGAUAGAAAAUUGCCUGGCAUCUUUACACUGUCGUCUAAAAUUUGUAUUAAGGGUAAUCUGUAAAAGUGUCAACACAGUGGAAUGUUUCUGCCUGCCACGUGCCCUGUUCAUGACACGGGUGUUUUCUUCUUCUAAAUAUUGUUAAAAUCAUCAAAAGGAUGACUGUGUAUUUGGCUUUCUAUUUAUAAUAUUGUAAGGUGUUUAUCUUGAAUUAAAGUGCCUCCAGAUGACUGUUGUUGGUGUUUGACCAUAUUUAAAACUCAUCUGAUUGUAAUACAGGGAAAUGUUGGUUUUUACAAAUAAUAACUGCGCGUGUUGUUUUUGCUCAUUUGCAUCUUUUAUUCAUUCAGCUUUCUUGACAUAUUGCAUGCAGCCGCUCUGCAGUGACGCUUUUUGGCCACAAUUACUUUUUCCUAAUGUUUAAAGCAGUGAAGUCAAACAUUUGGAGUUGUACACGAUUGUCAUCAGAUUGUGUGGUGAAAUUUUCUAAACUAAAAAUAUUUUGAAGUAGGGCUUCAUGAUGUGGGAAGACAGAAAUCAAAAACACUUUUGCCUUUUCUCUGCCAUCAUUUCCCCUAAAAAGCUAAAUAAAGCAAACAGAUUUCUGUGGCUUAACAAAAGUUUUUGCUUUUUCUUUUUAGUGUGUAACUGUGGACAGACUUCAUUGAGCUCUUUAAACACACUUUCAUGCUUACAACAUUGCAGGAAUCAUACACUGAUUUCACUAAAGCAUUUGUAUUUUAGUUGUUUGGCAUCUUCUCACGAGACACUCAGUUUCCCUCUUGGGUCCACCUGAUGCAUCUAAAACCAUCCUCGCAGUCACAUUUCAUAUCAGACGUACUGGUGUAGUUCUGAACCACUUUAAAAUGAAACUCUGAGAAAGAGUGAAAUAGAGAUUAUUAUAAAGAGUACUCUAGAACAUAGAAAAGCAUUUCCUUUGUGACACUUUCAUGUCAGCUUGAUGGCAUUGCAUUUUUUAGAGAGCAUAAAGAUUUCCAGGAAUAUUUUCAAACCUGUUCAUAUUAGACAAGUUUUGCAUAUUCAUGGCAACUUGAGAGGAACCUGUUCUCAGAAUGAUCUGAUAAUAACGGGAGCCAGAGCUAAGAUUACAUAUCCUGUCAGCUAUUUUUUUUCUUUUGUUUUUUAAUGGCUGCGGUAAAGUUGUUUGCUUUGACACUGGUCAUUUUGCCCACUGUUGGUUUGAGCUUAUCUGACAUGAGAAUUCAAAGUGUUCUUCUCGGUACUUACUGGUUGGGGUUGGGUCUGGCAUCUUCUCACAAGACAAGCAGUUCUUUUUGUCAUGGGCCCACCUGAUGCAUCUAAAACCAUCCUCGCAGUCACAUUUAAUAUCAGACGUACUGGUGCAGUUCUGAACCACUUUAAGAUGCAACUCUGAGAAAGAGUGAAAUAGAGAUUAUUAUAUGGAGUAGUCAUCACAGUACAUGUGGAGUUACUAUUAAUGGUUUAUCAGCUUUUUAUAGAAACCCAGAGAUCACGGGUAUAUCAAAAUCCUGAUGAAAUCAUUAAAGGUGGAAAUGAAAACUUUCUUUACUAGGGUUGCAGUCUCCAAAGCAGAGAUGGCAUUCAUCUUCAUAGUUCAAGUCAGUUGUGUAACUUCCAGCAGGACAGUGUUCACAUGUUGUACAAUCACUCUGAUACAUACCUGUG